rnacentral:rRNA from 2 species
GACGAAGGGGGCUAGCGUUGUUCGGAAUUACUGGGCGUAAAGCGAGUGUAGGUGGUUGUCACAGUCAGGUGUGAAAGCCUUGAGCUCAACUCAAGAAAUGCACUUGAUACUAGGCGACUAGAGGACCGGAGAGGAUAGUGGAAUUCCCAGUGUAGUGGUGAAAUACGUAGAGAUUGGGAAGAACACCAGUGGCGAAGGCGGCUAUCUGGACGGUUUCUGACACUAAGACUCGAAAGCGUGGGGAGCAAACAGG